rnacentral:tRNA from 2 species
GGUGAGGUGGGUGAGUGGCUGAAACCACCAGUUUGCUAAACUGGCGUACGGAUAACUCUGUACCGCGGGUUCGAAUCCCGCCCUCACCG